CUCUCCUGGCAAUGGGCAAAGAGGCACGUGGUUGUUGGUGGUGUUCUUCUGUCAGCAGGGGCAGAGCAGAUGGCAGGCCUUUGUUCAUCCUAGCUUGAUGCCUGGCCUGGUGGCCAAAGCUGCCUUACGCUUAGGACUCAAAG